UGGCGGCGUUUUCUACACAUGCGAGAAAAGGGGGCCCGCAAGGGCAACCGGCGAACGGGUGCGUAUCUCCUGAGCAACCUUCCGAUUCGUGGGGGAUAGCUGGCCUAACGGCCAGGUAAUACCGCAUAAGCUCAUCGAGUCUCCUGGCUUGAUGAGGAAACCUCCGGGGCGGAUCGAGGGGCUCGCGGCCUAUCAGCUAGUUGGCGAGGUAACGGCUCACCAAGGCGACGACGGGUAGCUGGUCUGAGAGGAUGGCCAGCCACAUUGGGACUGAGAAACGGCCCAGACUCCUACGGGAGGCAGCAGUGGG
rnacentral:rRNA from 1 species